rnacentral:rRNA from 1 species
AUUGAACGCUGGCGGCAGGCCUAACACAUGCAAGUCGAGCGGAUGACAGGAGCUUGCUCCUGGAUUCAGCGGCGGACGGGUGAGUAAUGCCUAGGAAUCUGCCUGGUAGUGGGGGACAACGUUUCGAAAGGAACGCUAAUACCGCAUACGUCCUACGGGAGAAAGCAGGGGACCUUCUGGCCUUGCGCUAUCAGACGAGCCUAGGUCGGAUUAGCUAGUUGGUGAGGUAAUUGCUCACCAAGGCGACGAUCCGUAACUGGUCUGAGAGGAUGAUCAGUCACACUGGAACUGAGACACGGUCCAGACUCCUACGGGAGGCAGCAGUGGGGAAUAUUGGACAAUGGGCGAAAGCCUGAUCCAGCCAUGCCGCGUGUGUGAAGAAGGUCUUCGGAUUGUAAAGCACUUUAAGUUGGGAGGAAGGGUUGUAGAUUAAUACUCUGCAAUUUUGACGUUACCGACAGAAUAAGCACCGGCUAACUCUGUGCCAGCCGCCGCCGUAAAAC